CAGCAGCCGCGGUAAUACCAGCCCCGCGAGUGGUCGGGACGGUUAUUGGGCCUAAAGCGCCCGUAGCCGGCCUAGCAAGUCUCCGCCGAAAUCCCCGGGCCCAACCCGGGGGCGUGCGGAGAUACUGCUAGGCUAGGGGGCGGGAGAGGCCGGGGGUACUCCCGGGGUAGGGGCGAAAUCCUAUAAUCCCGGGAGGACCACCAGUGGCGAAGGCGCCCGGCUGGAACGCGCCCGACGGUGAGGGGCGAAAGCCGGGGGAGCGAACCGGAUUAGAUACCCGGGUAGUCCCGGCUGUAAACGAUGCGGGCUAGGUGUCGGACGGGCUGAGAGCCCGUCCGGUGCCGCAGGGAAGCCGUUAAGCCCGCCGCCUGGGGAGUACGGCCGCAAGGCUGAAACUUAAAGGAAUUGGCGGG
rnacentral:rRNA from 1 species